rnacentral:rRNA from 1 species
AUUGAACGCUGGCGGCAGGCCUAACACAUGCAAGUCGAACGGUAACAGGAAACAGCUUGCUGUUUCGCUGACGAGUGGCGGGCGGGUGAGUAAUGUCUGGGAAACUGCCUGAUGGAGGGGGAUAACUACUGGAAACGGUAGCUAAUACCGCAUAACGUCGCAAGACCAAAGAGGGGGACCUUCGGGCCUCUUGCCAUCGGAUGUGCCCAGAUGGGAUUAGCUAGUAGGUGGGGUAACGGCUCACCUAGGCGACGAUCCCUAGCUGGUCUGAGAGGAUGACCAGCCACACUGGAACUGAGACACGGUCCAGACUCCUACGGGAGGCAGCAGUGGGGAAUAUUGCACAAUGGGCGCAAGCCUGAUGCAGCCAUGCCGCGUGUAUGAAGAAGGCCUUCGGGUUGUAAAGUACUUUCAGCGGGGAGGAAGGGAGUAAAGUUAAUACCUUUGCUCAUUGACGUUACCCGCAGAAGAAGCACCGGCUAACUCCGUG